GCUGUGACAGGAGAAGAAAACAGAAACUAAAUUCCAAUCGAUAUUCGACCCCUUAACAAUUAUAAUGGAUAACGAGACGUACUAAGACAAUUAUGUACGAACAUAUCACAGAUUACAUGCAACUUAACAUAUAGGGUACUCGUAUUAUAAAGAUUAAUGCCCAGCAUAACGUACGAAAGAGAGCCAUAUAGACAAUAAUAUAGAUCUUAUCAUCAUGUUCCUCUCCAGAUGAACUUCUCGUCCGUGAAAGUCUUCUCAUCUCAAAGCUCAAACCUACUUUGAAUCAGCUAGGUAGCUCCAUUCUUCUCUCACUCCUCUGACUUCUCUC
rnacentral:lncRNA from 1 species